CUGGCUCAGGAUGAACGCUGGCGGCGUGCCUAACACAUGCAAGUCGAACGGAGUUACCCGCUGAUGAAGCUUCGGCAGAAUCUUGGGUAAAUUAGUGGCGGACGGGUGAGUAACGCGUGGGCAACCUGCCCUGUACUGGGGGAUAGCAGCUGGAAACGGCUGGUAAUACCGCAUAAGCGCACAGUAUCGCAUGAUACAGUGUGAAAAGCUCCGACGGUACAGGAUGGGCCCGCGUCCGAUUAGCCAGUUGGCGGGGUAACGGCCCACCAAAGCGACGAUCGGUAGCCGGCCUGAGAGGGCGGACGGCCACAUUGGGACUGAGACACGGCCCAGACUCCUACGGGAGGCAGCAGUGGGGGAUAUUGCACAAUGGGGGAAACCCUGAUGCCAGCGACGCCGCGUGGGUGAAGAAGUAUUUCGGUAUGUAAAGCCCUAUCAGCAGGGACGAUAAUGACGGUACCUGAGUAAGAAGCCCCGGCUAACUACGUGCCAGCCGCUGC
rnacentral:rRNA from 1 species